rnacentral:tRNA from 1 species
AUUUCUAUAGUUGAGUUACAACGGCAGCUUUUCAGGUUGCAGGUCUUGGAUAGAGGCCAAGUAGGAAUU